rnacentral:rRNA from 1 species
CCCCCAGUUUGAUCCUGGCUCAGAUUGAACGCUGGCGGCAUGCCUUACACAUGCAAGUCGAGCGGCAGCGCGGGGGCAACCCUGGCGGCGAGCGGCGAACGGGUGAGUAAUACAUCGGAACGUGUCCUUUCGUGGGGGAUAACCAGUCGAAAGACUGGCUAAUACCGCAUGAGAUCUCACGAUGAAAGCGAGGGACCGCAAGGCCUCGCGCGAUUGGAGCGGCCGAUGUCGGAUUAGCUAGUUGGUGAGGUAACGGCUCACCAAGGCGACGAUCAGUAUCUGGUCUGAGAGGAUGAUCAGCCACACUGGUACUUAGACACGGACCAGACUCCUACGGGAGGCAGCAGUGGGGAAUAUUGCGCAAUGGGCGAAAGCCUGACGCAGCAACGCCGCGUGGGUGAAGAAGGCAUUCGUGUCGUAAAACCCUGUCAGAUGGGAAGAAACCUGCGCAAGCAGCUGACGGUACCAUCAGAGGAAGCACCGGCUAACUCCGUGCCAGCAGCCCCGGUCAA